AGUGGGGAAUAUUGCACAAUGGGGGAAACCCUGAUGCAGCAACGCCGCGUGGAGGAUGACACAUUUCGGUGCGUAAACUCCUUUUAUAGGUCAAGAUAAUGACGGUAGCCUAUGAAUAAGCGCCGGCUAACUCCGUGCCAGCAGCCGCGGUAAUACGGAGGGCGCAAGCGUUACUCGGAAUCACUGGGCGUAAAGAGCGUGUAGGCGGGUAGUUAAGUUUGAAGUGAAAUCCUAUGGCUCAACCAUAGAACUGCUUUGAAAACUGUCUACCUAGAGUAUGGGAGAGGUAGAUGGAAUUUCUGGUGUAGGGGUAAAAUCCGUAGAGAUCAGAAGGAAUACCGAUUGCGAAGGCGAUCUACUGGAACAUUACUGACGCUGAGACGCGAAAGCGUGGGGAGCAAA
rnacentral:rRNA from 1 species